CACACUCACACUUACGUAUAUUACAUUAUUAACUUUAGUUUUAUCACAAGAAAAAAAAAAUCAUGACAUUCCCUCUAUCGCUUAAAAUAACAUCACUACCACUACCACUACCACAUUCAUUGCACCAAAGUAGUUUGUUUUAGUAUUCCUAUAUAAAGGAGGACAAAUUUAGGAUGUAAGCUCAUUGCAUUAUGCCCUUGUUUCACUGACGCUUGGUUUCAAAAAAUUGUUAGAAAAACGAAAACGAAAGACAGGAGGAUAUUAAUCUGGUGCAUUACCACACAUCAAACCAGUCGACACAUCCCGAUAUUGAAACUACACCGAACGGAUUAAUUGAAAAAAACAAAUCAUUCAAUCAAUUUAACUGUUUGUUUAUGUGCAACAUACAUAAAAUGAGAAUUACUACAGCCGUCACACUAGCACUUUUGCUAGUUGUUAUUCAUCCAAUUAAACUGUCGUUGGCGGCCCAAACUCCAUGUAAACCGUGUAAAAUAAAUGAUGAACUCAUAUUGCAGAAAGCCUGGGUCUGUGGUGAAUGUGGCUCCUUAUACAAGGACACUGCAAUAGAGUACUGUUGCGUAUGCGACCAGGGAUUCUAUGACAAAUGCCUCAUCGCUACGGGUAUCGAUAAGGACAGAGACACUAAUCUUAAUCCGCACUAACAUUCCUGAACGAUCUCCUUUUUUUUUUCUGUUGGCGGAUUGGCAGGAUUGUUAAAGCGAAGAUUAAAAAUAACUCGUAUUUACUUCUCUUUACGUUCUGAGUUCACAUCCUGCUAAAGUCAACUUUGUUUUUCAUCCUUACUAGUACCACUAGUAAAAUACUUGGACCAAUACAAUUUAAAGAUACUCAUCUCUCCAAAUUAUUAUUAUUGUUGUUAUUAUUAUUAUUAUUAUUAUUAUUAUUAUUAUUGUUGUUGUUGUUGUUGUUGUUGUUGUCGUUGUUGUAAUCGCUAUUAUUGUCGUUGAUUUCAUUUGACAAAAUAUAAAUCUAAGGUCUUGUGGCAAAAGAAUACAGUCGAGUCAAUUGAUUUCAGCAAGGUUUCUUGAAAGUUUUUUUUAUAAGCCCUGUUAUCUAUGAAACAAAAAGUCAAUUCUGUUAGUAAUUUGAACCUUGAUUGUAGAAGGGCAAAAUUAAAAUGUCGUAUGAUCAUUUA